rnacentral:rRNA from 1 species
AUUGAACGCUGGCGGCAGGCCUAACACAUGCAAGUCGAGCGGACGAAGGGAGCUUGCUCCUGGAUUCAGCUGCGGACGGGUGAGUAAUGCCUAGGAAGCUGCCUGGUAGUGGGGGAUAACGUCCGGAAACGGGCGCUAAUACCGCAUACGUCAUGAGGGAGAAAGUGGGGGAUCUUCGGACCUCACGCUAUUAGAUGAGCCUAGGUCGGAUUAGCUAGUUGGUGAGGUAAAGGCCUACCAAGGCGACGAUCCGUAACUGGUCUGAGAGGAUGAUCAGUCACACUGGAACUGAGACACGGUCCAGACUCCUACGGGAGGCAGCAGUAGGGAAUAUUGGACAAUGGGCGAAAGCCUGAUCGAGCCAUGCCGCGUGUGUGAAGAAGGUCUUCGGAUUGUAAAACUCUUUAAGUUGGGAGGAAGAGAAGUAAGUGUAUACCUUGCUGUUUUGACGGUACCAACAGAGUAAGCACCGGCUAACUUCGUG